GGUGUGUGUGCGUGUGUGUGUGCGUUGGAGUGUACUGUGUACAGUUGAGUACAGGGUACAGUUGAGACAUCCGUAAUAUCUUUAGUGCGCAAACAUGCUUCUGCGCUGAUUUUUGCUCUGCACAUGCGUAUAGACGUCCUCUUUCAGCGUGGGAGACUUGAACUGUGUGUGUGGCUCCGCUACGAAGUUAUCGGCAAAAGUCUGUUUUUGCAGGAUGCCACGAUCGAGAGUUAGGUCUACAAAUAGGGGAGUGCCACCAGAGGACUUAGAGAGGGCUUCCAGGUCUAUUGAGUCAGGAUUGUCAUACAGGAAGGUCGCUGAGAUUACGUAACAAACUUUACAAUUUAAAUAUAUUUUAAAUAUUGAAUACCCAGCUUUUAACCUGACAUGAUGGUUCCUAAAUAUUUGUUAUUAUAUUUGUUACAAGUUAUUUGUUAUUAUAUUAUUGUUGUUAUUAUAUUUGUUAUAAGUUAUUUGUUAUAAGUUAUUUGUUUAACCAGUUUUUUUAUAUUAUAUGAUGACAUUGAUGAGUUGAAAAAAUUAAUAAAUGUAGCCUAGGCUAAGCUUAAAAAGUGGAUGUUUGUUGUUUGCUUUACCCUGCUAUUAAUAGAUGGUGUGAUGUAAAUGACAUUGAUUAUAGACUUAUG
ensembl:lncRNA